ACGAAAGUAGCAAUACUUUAGUGGCGGAUGGGUUAGUAAUACAUAGGUAACCUACCUUCAACAUUGGAAUAACGUUUGGAAACGAGCGCUAAUACCAAAUGUGGAAAAAAUGGGAAGUCUGUCUUUUUUAAAGUGGGGGAUCGUAAGACCUCGCGGUUGAAGAGGGGCCUAUGGGAUAUCAGCUAGUUGGUGAGGUAAUGGCUCACCAAGG
rnacentral:rRNA from 1 species